rnacentral:rRNA from 1 species
AACGAACGCUGGCGGCAUGCCUAACACAUGCAAGUCGAACGAGACCUUCGGGUCUAGUGGCGCACGGGUGCGUAACGCGUGGGAAUCUGCCCUUGGGUUCGGAAUAACUCAGAGAAAUUUGAGCUAAUACCGGAUGAUGACGAGAGUCCAAAGAUUUAUCGCCCAAGGAUGAGCCCGCGUAAGAUUAGCUUGUUGGUGGGGUAAUGGCCCACCAAGGCGACGAUCUUUAGCUGGUCUGAGAGGAUGAUCAGCCACACUGGGACCGAGACACGGCCCAGACUCCUACGGGAGGCAGCAGUGGGGAAUAUUGGACAAUGGGCGAAAGCCUGAUCCAGCAAUGCCGCGUGAGUGAUGAAGGCCUUAGGGUUGUAAAGCUCUUUUACCAGGGAUGAUAAUGACAGUACCUGGAGAAUAAGCUCCGGCUAACUCCGUGCCAGCAGCCGCCGUAAAAC